rnacentral:rRNA from 1 species
GCGCACGGGUGAGUAAUACGUAGGUAAUGUACCGUUUGGCGUGGGAUAACCGACCGAAAGGUUGGCUAAUACCGCAUAAGUUCUCUUGAGGUUCGCCGAAGGAGAAGAAAGAAGGGCAACUUUCACCGAACGAUCGGCCUGCGUCCCAUCAGCUAGUUGGUGAGGUAAUGGCUCACCAAGGCGACGACGGGUAGCUGGUCUGAGAGGAUGAUCAGCCACACUGGGACUGAGACACGGCCCAGACUCC